UCUCAAAGAUUAAGCCAUGCAAGUGGUUUGCAACCCGACGGUUUGAAUAAGUGUUAAUUUACUUUUUAAUUAAGUUUAUAUAUAUUAUAUAUAUUAUAUUAUUAUUAUAAACUUUUUUAAUUAAAAGUGAUAUAUAAUCUUUGAUUUUUAUCACUUACGCAACUGCAGACAGCUGCUUAAUACAGUCACACUUGUCUUGACUUCGCACUGUAAAAUGUUUAUAUUUAAGGUGUUUUUAUAUAUAUAUUUAUAUAUAUUUAAAUGCAUUUUAAUAUAUAAACAAAAUAUGUUACUUUAAAGAGCAAUAAUAUUUUAUAUAUUGUUGUUUUUUUUGGAUAACUAAGGGAAAGUUUGGCUAAUACGUACGAGUUAAUUAGAAUUAUAUUAAAUUUAAAAUGAUAUAUAUAUAUUAUUUAUAUAUAUUGUUUUAUUUUUAUUAUUAUUUCAUUAUUACUUUUUGCACAUAUUGGAGCAGUGAAGUAUUAUAUAUAUAUUAUUUAUAUUGUUAUAUGUAUUAUACAUAUAUAUGUUAUCCUUUUAACUAAGUGAAAAUAUGUAUUGUAUAUAUAUAUUCAAUAUUAAGUAUAAUGUUUAAUACUUUAUAACUUAAAUGUUAAGCUGCAUUCAUGCAACAUGAGAGACAAUAUGUACGCGAACAUACCUUUGUUUUAAAAUGUAAUUAUUAUUAAUAUAUAAUUUAAUUAUUAUAUAUUGUAUUUUUAUUAUUUUAAAGCAUGCUUUAUGGUAUAUGCUGAGCAGACUUGCGAGGAAUCAUACUUGCAAGCAGGUCAUACAAGCAUCUACGGCAUCAAGUCACAGGGUCGGCAAGUGUAUUAUUGAACCUUCAAAGCAGUCACGCAUACGGAAGAGUAGUUUCUGAUCCCAUAGAAGGAGCACCGUACAAUGAGAGACCGCUCUUAGUUCUAAGGAACGCAGCAGGCGCGUAAAUUGCCCAAUGUUAGUCCCCUUUUAUUAUAUAUAUUUAAUUAUGUGUAUAAACAUUGUGUGUAAUUUGCAUAUUUAAUUUAUAAAUUAUAUAUAUAUAUUAUAUAUAAUUUAAUUAAAUUGUAAAUACGAACACUUGGUUUUCAAACUCAAAAAAAAUAAAAAUAAAGAACAAUUUAUUUACAUUCCUUGUUAUAUUGUUUCUCUUUUAUUUUUAAUAUAGAUAUAUUAUAUAUAUAUAUUAAUUUUACUGAGGCAGUGACAAGCUGUAACAGUUGUAGCUUUAAAUUAAUGUAAGGGCCUUGGAUUUGUCACUUCUUUGAAGUGUUACAGAGCCGGCUUUUACCUGCUCAUCUGGAAUGCGGUGAGUCUAAGCAAUUCGGAACAGUUGGUGUGUCUUUACGGACAUAACAAUAAUCCGAACUCAAGUGGAGGGCAAGUCUGGUGCCAGCAGCCGCGGUAAUACCAGCUCCACUGGCCUAUACAAUCAUUGUUGCGGUUAAGAGGCUCGUAGUUGGAUUGAACACUUUUUUUUAUUAAUUUUUGAUAUAAUUAUGUAUAUUUAUUUAUAUAUGAUUAUAUUAAAAAAUUAAGCUGAGAUUUUUAAAUAAUAUAUUUAUAUUUAUAUUUAAUAUAUUGUUUGAAAAAUAUUCAAGUUGAAUUUGUGUUAUUCAAAUUCAUAUUUUUAUUUUAAUAAUUGUUGUUUUUUCAACACUGUGAACAAAUCAGAGUGUAUCAAACAUGUCGUAUUUGAUUGUGCAUUGAAUGUCUUAUCAUGGAAUGUUGCAACUCGAAUAUAUUAUAUAUAUGUAUAUGAUACAAUCUUAAUUGAAAAUAAAAUUAUGUAUUUUUAUAUUAUGAAUGAAUACUUUUUUGUUUUAAAACAAUAUUUAUAUGUAUAUAUAUAUGUUUUGAAAUGUCGAUGGGGAUAGUUGGAGUCAAGAGUACUGCUGGGCGAGAGGCGAAAUUCGGUGACCCUGGCAAGACUACCAAAAGCGAAAGCACUUGACUAGGCUAUCCUCUUUGUGAUUUAUAUGUAUAUAUUUAUAUAUAUAUAUUAUAUUAUUGUUAUAAUAUAUCUUUAUUAUAAUAGUAUAAAUGUAUAUAUAUUUAUAUAUAUAUAUUAAAACACUUUACAAUGAAGAACGAAGGUUGGGGGAUCAAAGACGAUCAGAUACCGUCGUCGUCCCAUUAAUUACAUCAAACGAUGGGCACUCAAUUGCAUAUUGAGAUAUUGUUUGAUAAUGCCCUCAACCUGCAAAAUCAGGGCUUGUAGCGUUGUUUUAUCAGUUUAUAAAUUUUUUAUAUAAAUGAUUAUUUUAUUAUAAUUAUUUUGUUUAAUAUUGUUAGAUUGUUCAAUUGCUCGCCUGUAUUUGUAUACGGACUUGAAGGCAUUUUUUGCAAGCGUGCAGCAUUCUUUUAAAAUGUUAUUUUAUAAUAUUAUAAAUUUUAUUUAUAUAUAUUUAUUAUACCUUUUUAUAUUUAUAGUAAUGCAAGCACUUGAUUUUCGGAGCUUUGCGCUCUUUUGGUGAGAUGUAAGCGACAAAGACGUCUUAUAGUUUGUAUUAUUUUUGAUAUAUAUGUAUUUUCUUCAUAGUAAUAUUAAUAUUGAAUAUAAUUUAUCAAACUAACUUAAACGGACUCUUUACUGUUGUGAGGCACGCUUUAGGCACGCGCUUACUGCAGAAAUGUCUGAGUCAUUCCCCUCCGGGGGUAGUAUGCACGCAAGUGUGAAACUUGAAGGAAUUGACGGAAGGGCACCACAAGAACGCGUGGAGCAUGUGGCUUAAUUUGACUCAACGCGGGAAAUCUUACCGGGUCCGGACAUACUGAGGAUUGACAGGUGCAAAAAUGUAUUAUWAUUUAUAAUUUUAUUAUUAUAUUUUAUUAAUACGUUAUCAAAUAUGCUAGUCCUUUCAUGAUUGUGUGAUAGGUGGUGCAUGGCCGUUCUUAGUUCGUGGAGUGAUCUGUCUGCUUAAUUGCGUUUCAUAAUAGCUCCAAAUAGACUUUUCUAUUGAUAUCAGCCUUAWYACUUUUGAAUUUAUAAUAUAUAUUUAAUCAUAAUUUUAUUAUUAUGUGCCAAUAUUAUUUUAUUUUUUUUUAAAGGUAAGGAUUUGAUUCAAAGUAAAACGUGGAGCCUGAAGGCAACGAACGUGACCGCAACCUCUUGUUGCCUCAUUCUUAAUAUGAAUAUUAAUAUUUAAAAUGAUUUUAUUAUUGUUUUAUUUAUUCUUAUUUAUAUGUGUUAUGUAUUUGAUUGUAUGUGAAUGUAUGUUACAUGUAUUUAAUCUGAUGCAUUCAUUGUGGUUAUAUAUAUAUAUGUAUUUAUACAUGAAUUUAUUCGUGUAUUUUAUAUAUAUAUGUGAUUAUAGUGAGUGUUUUGGUUUUAUACGUGUGGUGUAUUUUAUUUAUAUAUUUUAAUCAUUUUAUAUAAAUUGAGGCUAACUAGAGGGACCGCUAGGCUAGCUUUUUAAAACAGAGGAAGGUUGCGGCAAUAACAGGUCUGUGAUGCCCUCAGAUGUUCCGGGCUGACACGUGCUACAAUGAUUAUUGCAGUGAGCAUCUCAACAUUGUGAUUUUAGAUUAUUAAAAUAAUUAUAUUAUGAAAAGUGUAUUUAUUUAUAUUUUGAUUUUUAUAUUAUUUAUAAUUUAAAAAUUUAAUCACAUAGCCUACUUCGGCAGUCAGUAGGUAAUCAAUUAGAAGUAAUGAUUUCCCCUUUUUUAUUUAAAUAUAAUAUAAAAUUUAUUUUUUAUUUGUGUUUAUUUAAAAUUGAUGCACACUUUUAUGUCUAUGUUUCUAUUUUUACAUGUUAGAAUAUUAAUACUAUUUAUUAAUAGUUUAAUUUUUAAUUUUGUGAUAGUUACUGACAUGUGCUCUCAUAUUUUAAAUGUUCAAUUCGUGGUGGGGACAGACCAUUGUUAAUUGUUGGUCUCGGUCUCAACUAGGAAUGCCUUGUACGGGUCUUUGGUUCAACAAACCACCCGGAAUAUGUCCCUGCCCUUUGUACACACCGCCCGUCGCUCUUACCGAUGGACUACUCUGUGAGUUUAAGGGACUGGUUUGAAUUAAUAUAAUUUUUUUAGAAAAUUUAUUUUUUAUUAUUAUAUUAUAUUAUAUUCAGGCUAUGGAAACUUAUACGAACAGUGUGGUCUAAAGGAAAGAGAAGUCGUAACAAGGCAUCGGUAGGUGAACCU
rnacentral:rRNA from 1 species